rnacentral:rRNA from 1 species
CGCUGGCGGCGUGCUUAACACAUGCAAGUCGAACGGUGAAGCCCAGCUUGCUGGGUGGAUCAGUGGCGAACGGGUGAGUAACACGUGAGCAACCUGCCCCUGACUCUGGGAUAAGCGCUGGAAACGGCGUCUAAUACUGGAUACGAGUAGCGACCGCAUGGUCAGUUACUGGAAAGAUUUAUUGGUUGGGGAUGGGCUCGCGGCCUAUCAGCUUGUUGGUGAGGUAAUGGCUCACCAAGGCGUCGACGGGUAGCCGGCCUGAGAGGGUGACCGGCCACACUGGGACUGAGACACGGCCCAGACUCCUACGGGAGGCAGCAGUGGGGAAUAUUGCACAAUGGGCGCAAGCCUGAUGCAGCAACGCCGCGUGAGGGAUGACGGCCUUCGGGUUGUAAACCUCUUUUAGCAGGGAAGAAGCGAAAGUGACGGUACCUGCAGAAAAAGCGCCGGCUAACUACGUGCCAGCAGCCGCGGUAAUACGUAGGGCGCAAGCGUUAUCCGGAAUUAUUGGGCGUAAAGAGCUCGUAGGCGGUUUGUCGCGUCUGCUGUGAAAUCCGGAGGCUCAACCUCCGGCCUGCAGUGGGUACGGGCAGACUAGAGUGCGGUAGGGGAGAUUGGAAUUCCUGGUGUAGCGGUGGAAUGCGCAGAUAUCAGGAGGAACACCGAUGGCGAAGGCAGAUCUCUGGGCCGUAACUGACGCUGAGGAGCGAAAGGGUGGGGAGCAAACAGGCUUAGAUACCCUGGUAGUCCACCCCGUAAACGUUGGGAACUAGUUGUGGGGUCCAUUCCACGGAUUCCGUGACGCAGCUAACGCAUUAAGUUCCCCGCCUGGGGAGUACGGCCGCAAGGCUAAAACUCAAAGGAAUUGACGGGGACCCGCACAAGCGGCGGAGCAUGCGGAUUAAUUCGAUGCAACGCGAAGAACCUUACCAAGGCUUGACAUAUACGAGAACGGGCCAGAAAUGGUCAACUCUUUGGACACUCGUAAACAGGUGGUGCAUGGUUGUCGUCAGCUCGUGUCGUGAGAUGUUGGGUU